rnacentral:rRNA from 1 species
GACGAACGCUGGCGGCGUGCUUAACACAUGCAAGUCGAACGGAAAGGCCCUGCUUUUGUGGGGUGCUCGAGUGGCGAACGGGUGAGUAACACGUGAGUAACCUGCCCUUGACUUUGGGAUAACUUCAGGAAACUGGGGCUAAUACCGGAUAGGAGCUCCUGCUGCAUGGUGGGGGUUGGAAAGUUUCGGCGGUUGGGGAUGGACUCGCGGCUUAUCAGCUUGUUGGUGGGGUAGUGGCUUACCAAGGCUUUGACGGGUAGCCGGCCUGAGAGGGUGACCGGCCACAUUGGGACUGAGAUACGGCCCAGACUCCUACGGGAGGCAGCAGUGGGGAAUAUUGCACAAUGGGCGGAAGCCUGAUGCAGCGACGCCGCGUGCGGGAUGACGGCCUUCGGGUUGUAACCCGCUUUCGCCUGUGACGAAGCGUGAGUGACGGUAAUGGGUAAAGAAGCACCGGCUAACUACGUG